AUUGAACGCUGGCGGCAUGCUUUACACAUGCAAGUCGAACGGUAACAGGCCGCAAGGUGCUGACGAGUGGCGAACGGGUGAGUAAUGCAUCGGAACGUGCCCAGUCGUGGGGGAUAACGCAGCGAAAGCUGUGCUAAUACCGCAUACGAUCUAUGGAUGAAAGCGGGGGACCGUAAGGCCUCGCGCGAUUGGAACGGCCGAUGUCAGAUUAGGUAGUUGGUGGGGUAAAGGCUCACCAGGCCAACGAUCUGUAGCUGGUCUGAGAGGACGACCAGCCACACUGGGACUGAGACACGGCCCAGACUCCUACGGGAGGCAGCAGUGGGGAAUUUUGGACAAUGGGCGCAAGCCUGAUCCAGCAAUGCCGCGUGCAGGAAGAAGGCCUUCGGGUUGUAAACUGCUUUUGUACGGAACGAAAAGGUUUGGGUUAAUACCCUGGGCCGAUGACGGUACCGUAAGAAUAAGCACCGGCUAACUACGUGCCAGCCGCCGCUGUAA
rnacentral:rRNA from 1 species